rnacentral:tRNA from 1 species
CACUACUCGGUUGGUAGAGUAUAAAGCUUUUAACCUUAUGGACGUGGGUUCAAGCCCAUGGUGA